AGUGGGGAAUUUUGGACAAUGGGGGCAACCCUGAUCCAGCAAUGCCGCGUGCAGGAAGAAGGCCUUCGGGUUGUAAACUGCUUUUGUACGGAACGAAACGGCUCUGGUUAAUACCCGGGGUUAAUGACGGUACCGUAAGAAUAAGCACCGGCUAACUACGUGCCAGCAGCCGCGGUAAUACGUAGGGUGCGAGCGUUAAUCGGAAUUACUGGGCGUAAAGCGUGCGCAGGCGGUGCUGUAAGACAGGCGUGAAAUCCCCGGGCUUAACCUGGGAAUGGCGCUUGUGACUGCAGUGCUGGAGUGCGGCAGAGGGGGAUGGAAUUCCGCGUGUAGCAGUGAAAUGCGUAGAUAUGCGGAGGAACACCGAUGGCGAAGGCAAUCCCCUGGGCCUGCACUGACGCUCAUGCACGAAAGCGUGGGGAGCAAA
rnacentral:rRNA from 1 species